rnacentral:rRNA from 1 species
UACAGAGGUCUCAAGCGUUGUUCGGAUUCAUUGGGCGUAAAGGGUGCGUAGGCGGCCGGGUAAGUCUGAUGUGAAAUCCCGCAGCUCAACUGCGGAACUGCAUCGGAUACUCUCCGGCUAAAGGAAUGGAGGGGAGACUGGAAUUCUCGGUGUAGCAGUGAAAUGCGUAGAUAUCGAGAGGAACACCAGUGGCGAAGGCGAGUCUCUGGACAUUUCCUAACGCUGAGGCACGAAAGCCAGGGGAGCAAACGGG